GCGCUGGAAGAGCAAACUCAGAACGGGUCGUUACGGCACAAGCACGAAGGAUUAUUUUGCCUACCAAGAUGACCGACGAUUAUGAGCCUUCCCCCUGGUUCGUCAAACGGCUAACCCAACGGUAAUGGACUCGAUGGUUAUGCUUCAUCCCCGGUAAUCGAUUGGGGGAACGGCGAGCACACGUGCAUAGCACUCGGUUGGUUAAUUUCUGGCCGAUGUAAAUUAGAGUCCAGCCAUCAGCUAACAUUCGCCGAGACUGGGCGAGAAUCGUCCAACGGCAAAACUUUUGUGCCCCGUCUGUCUGUAUAACGCUCACUAAUUUGCAAUAAUAUGUAUGUGUGCGACUGUUUGUUUGUUUGAGGUACAGUCCCCCAACUCCUGGGCUGAGGUUGAGGAACAAAAAACCUAACUCCCACCAAAGCAAGGUUGGCUAAACACGCAAAUAAUGGCCAGUUUACGGCUACUUAUACUCAGCGAUGCCUCACACCGAGGGUGCUUAAAAAGUUGCCUGCAACAACCACACCUUCGCUGUGUGUCCGUCAGUGUUGGAAGAUAUCGGGGACGCAGCUUCUUACGCUCUGGACGCUCAUCAACGCGUGCCCUGUAAGAUACGGUGGGAACGUCAGCAACUGACGCCCUCAUCCCGGCGAACUUGUCGGAAGUAUAACCACGCCACCAAGGCAUUCGGGUAGAUAGUUUCCCUUGUGACGUUGUGCUAAUGUUGAGUGUGAAGCAGCACACGAACAGAACAAUAACACCAAAAGAAAUCUCUCACACACACACUCACCCAUACUUAUAUCCAGAGUAAACUUCAAGCUGUUAGUCAAAUAAAAACAGAUUUCCCACAUUCACUCGCUCGUAUCCGAUUUGUCACCGGUAGCCCGAAGGUUCGUCUUAGAGAAGACCUCCGUGCUUUAGUUUGCGUUGUGGUUGGCCGUGGGAGAACCCAUGUCGUCCAAUGCACCGUGCUACUUCGUCCAUCUUGUUCUUGGCGGGGAACGGGUGCGUCCGAAAGGACAAAAGGACCGUAAACGUGUGCCAACCACAGACAGGUGCGGUUGUUGAGUGCUGUGUGGCAGAAGGAACCAGGACAACGUCAGGAUUAGACAACCACGAAGGGUGGUAGGGUAGAUUCUUCGGAUGGGCUUUUUCGAGACCCGAAACCUCACCUGUGCCUGGAGCGAGCUCGACCGGGCCUAUGCCUAAGACACGUCAUCCCGGGUCGAUAAAUGGUCCCGUGCAGAAGAUUAAACAAACAACAUCAAACUGAAAAGGUGUGCCGCUGAACGUGAAGGGUGUACAUACUUUUUGCCGGUCUCCAAAAAUACCGCAGCUCAGUAGCAUCCGCCUUGCCUUGCUGAGGCUAAGGUCCUAUAAUGGUCGGCUUGCUAGCUGUAAAGCAGGGUUAGUGAGAUUAUGGAAGUACGCAAGUGAGAAGGUUAGUUUAAUAUAAAACUUCAACACUUUACUCUUAAAUCGAGCCAAAAACCAAGCUAAUAAGAGUUUUCUUUUUGAACAACACCUU